rnacentral:rRNA from 1 species
CGGACGGGUGAGUAAUGUCUGGGAAACUGCCCGAUGGAGGGGGAUAACUACUGGAAACGGUAGCUAAUACCGCAUAACGUCGCAAGACCAAAGAGGGGGACCUUCGGGCCUCUUGCCAUCAGAUGUGCCCAGAUGGGAUUAGCUUGUUGGUGGGGUAACGGCUCACCAAGGCGACGAUCCCUAGCUGGUCUGAGAGGAUGACCAGCCACACUGGAACUGAGACACGGUCCAG